ensembl:misc_RNA Metazoa_SRP Metazoan signal recognition particle RNA
GCUGGGAUCAGUGGUGCGUGUCUGUACUCCCAGCUACUCAGGAGGCUGAGGCUGGAGGAUCACUUUAGUCCAGGAGUUCCGGGCUGUAGUGAGCUAUCGGGUGUCUGCACUAAGUUUGGCAUCAAUAUGGUGACCUCCCAGGAGCGAGGGACCACCAGGUUGCCUAAGGCGGGGUGAACCAGCCCAGGUCAGAAAUGGAACAGGUCAAAACUACCAGGCUGAUCAGUAGUGGGAUCACACCUGUGAAUAGCCACUGCACUCCAGCCUGGGCAACAUAGUGAGACCCCGUCUCUU